GCAGGAAAUGCAGGUUCGAUCCCUCAGUUGGGAAGAUCCCCUGGAGAAGGGAAUGCACUCCACUCCAGUAUUCUUGCCAGGAGAAUCCCAUGGACAGAGGAGCCUGGUGGGCUACAGUUCAUGGCAUUGCAAAGGAGUCGGACACAACUUAGCCACUAAACAACAAUAAAACAGCAAAAUAUGUAGUGUUAAAAUCUUUUUUAUAUCCAUUGGGAAAAACAAAAAAAUGCCUAUGACUCAUUAUUUUGGAAUUUUCCUUACUACAGUGUCCUGGAGCCAAACUUGCAGUGUCUUCAAGGUCUGCCUGUGUACAGUAAGAAGUGUUUGGACAUUCACCACUAUCAAGUUCAGAAGAGGAGCUCGCCUCGCUGCUCAGGGCCCCAGUGUCCUCUGGACUUCUGGGACUAGUGAAUUCAAGACAUGAUUUUGCUGCCUGUUGCAUUCCAUUUUGGACACAGUAAGUCAUGUUCUCUUUAUA
ensembl:lncRNA